CACGUAGGGCGCAAGGCGUUGUCCGGAAUUAUUGGGCGUAAAGAGCUCGUAGGCGGUCUGUUGCGUCCGCUGUGAAAACUCGGGGCUUAACCCCGAGCCUGCAGUGGAUACGGGCAGACUAGAGGUAGGUAGGGGAGAAUGGAAUUCCCGGUGUAGCGGUGAAAUGCGCAGAUAUCAGGAGGAACACCGGUGGCGAAGGCGGUUCUCUGGGCAUUACCUGACGCUGAGGAGCGAAAGUGUGGGGAGCGAACAGG
rnacentral:rRNA from 1 species